rnacentral:rRNA from 1 species
GACGAACGCUGGCGGCGUGCCUAAUACAUGCAAGUUGAGCGCUGAAGGUUGGUACUUGUACCAACUGGAUGAGCAGCGAACGGGUGAGUAACGCGUGGGGAAUCUGCCUUUGAGCGGGGGACAACAUUUGGAAACGAAUGCUAAUACCGCAUAAAAACUUUAAACACAAGUUUUAAGUUUGAAAGAUUCAAUUGCAUCACUCAAAGAUGAUCCCGCGUUGUAUUAGCUAGUUGGUGAGGUAAAGGCUCACCAAGGCGAUGAUACAUAGCCGACCUGAGAGGGUGGUCGGCCACAUUGGGACUGAGACACGGCCCAAACUCCUACGGGAGGCAGCAGUAGGAAAUCUUCGGCAAUGGACGAAAGUCUGACCGAGCAACGCCGCGUGAGUGAAGAAGGUUUUCGGAUCGUAAAACUCUGUUGGUAGAGAAGAACGUUGGUGAGAGUGGAAAGCUCAUCAAGUGACGGUAACUACCCAGAAAGGGACGGCUAACUACGUG